UUACAGUUGAGCAGGCACUUUGUUGACUCUAGAGAACCUCGGGCCAAUCGCACAUCACCGUGACGGUAACUUUGCAUUCGGACGUCAUCCACCUCAACUAUCGAUACCAGUUUCUGUGUCUACCAUGGUGACCACGGGUAACGGGGAAUCAGGGUUCCAUUCCAUACAGGGACCCUGAGAAAUGGCUAACACAUGCAAGGAAGGCAGCAGGCACGCAAAUGACCCACUCCCGACGCGGGAAGGUAGUGACGA